rnacentral:rRNA from 1 species
GACAGAGGGUGCAAACGUUGCUCGGAAUUACUGGGCGUAAAGCGCGUGUAGGCGGCCCUGCAAGUCGGGUGUGAAAUCCCAUGGCUCAACCAUGGAAGUGCACUCGAAACUGCAGGGCUAGAGUCCUGGAGAGGAAGGUGGAAUGCUUGGUGUAGAGGUGAAAUUCGUAGAUAUCAAGCGGAACACCGGUGGCGAAGGCGGCCUUCUGGACAGUGACUGACGCUGAGACGCGAAAGCGUGGGGAGCGAACAGG